rnacentral:rRNA from 1 species
UACGGGGGGGGGCAAGCGUUGUUCGGAAUUACUGGGCGUAAAGGGCUCGUAGGUGGCCAACUAAGUCGGACGUGAAAUCCCUCGGCUUAACCGGGGAACUGCGUCUGAUACUGGAUGGCUUGAGUUCGGGAGAGGGAUGCGGAAUUCCAGGUGUAGCGGUGAAAUGCGUAGAUAUCUGGAGGAACACCGGUGGCGAAAGGCGGCACUCCUGGGAUCCGAACACUGAACCACGUGAUGGAGGGCAGGAACGGCAAAAGGGCCAUGGGGAAG